UUCUGGUUAGUUCAGUUGGUAGAGCACUCCACUCGAAAUGGAGAAGUCCCUGGCUCGAUGCCAGGAACAGGGG
rnacentral:tRNA from 2 species